rnacentral:rRNA from 1 species
UCGAACGAUGAANACUUUCGGUGGGGUNAAGUGGCGAACGGGUGAGUAACACGUGGGCAAUCCGCUUCUUACUUCUGGGACAAGCCCCGGAAACGGGGUCUAAUACUCGGAUAGCACUUCCACGGGCAUCUGUGGGGGUUGAAAGCUCCGGCGGUGAAGGAUGGGCUCCGCGGCCUAUCAGCUUGUUGGUGAGGUAAUGGCUCACCAAGGCGACGACGGGUAGCCGGCCUGAGAGGGCGACCGGCCACACUGGGACUGAGACACGGCCCAGACUCCUACGGGAGGCAGCAGUGGGGAAUAUUGCACAAUGGGCGCAAGCCUGAUGCAGCGACGCCGCGUGAGGGAUGACGGCCUUCGGGUUGUAAACCUCUUUCAGCAGGGAAGAAGCGAAAGUGACGGUACCUGCAGAAGAAGCGCCGGCUAACUACGUGCCAGCAGCCGCGGUAAUACGUAGGGCGCAAGCGUUGUCCGGAAUUAUUGGGCGUAAAGAGCUCGUAGGCGGCUUGUCACGUCGGGUGUGAAAGCCCGGGGCUUAACCCCGGGUCUGCAUUCGAUACGGGCUAGCUAGAGUGUGGUAGGGGAGAUCGGAAUUCCUGGUGUAGCGGUGAAAUGCGCAGAUAUCAGGAGGAACACCGGUGGCGAAGGCGGAUCUCUGGGCCAUUACUGACGCUGAGGAGCGAAAGCGUGGGGAGCGAACAGGAUU